rnacentral:rRNA from 1 species
UACAGAGGGUGCAAGCGUUAAUCGGAAUUACUGGGCGUAAAGCGUGUGUAGGCGGCAAUGCAAGUCGGGCGUGAAAUCCCACGGCUCAACCGUGGAAGUGCACUCGAAACUGCAUAGCUAGAGUCCUGGAGAGGAAGGUGGAAUGCUUGGUGUAGAGGUGAAAUUCGUAGAUAUCAAGCGGAACACCGGUGGCGAAGGCGGCCUUCUGGACAGUGACUGACGCUGAGACACGAAAGCGUGGGGAGCAACAGG